GUGCUCGCUUCGGCAGCACAUAUACUAAAAUUGGAACGAUACAGAGAAGAUUAGCAUGGCCCCUGCGCAAGGUUGUAGUUAUUACUAGAGUUGAUUCUUUCU